GUCGCAAGACCAAAGUGGGGGACCUUCGGGCCUCAUGCCAUCAGAUGUGCCCAGAUGGGAUUAGCUUGUAGGUGGGGUAACGGCUCACCUAGGCGACGAUCCCUAGCUGGUCUGAGAGGAUGACCAGCCACACUGGAACUGAGACACGGUCCAGACUCCUACGGGAGGCAGCAGUGGGGAAUAUUGCACAAUGGGCGCAAGCCUGAUGCAGCCAUGCCGCGUGUGUGAAGAAGGCCUUCGGGUUGUAAAGCACUUUCAGCGGGGAGGAAGGCGGUGAGGUUAAUAACCUCAUCGAUUGACGUUACCCGCAGAAGAAGCACCGGCUAACUCCGUGCCAGCAGCCGCGGUAAUACGGAGGGUGCAAGCGUUAAUCGGAAUUACUGGGCGUAAAGCGCACGCAGGCGGUCUGUCAAGUCGGAUGUGAAAUCCCCGGGCUCAACCUGGGAACUGCAUUCGAAACUGGCAGGCUAGAGUCUUGUAGAGGGGGGUAGAAUUCUAGGUGUAGCGGUGAAAUGCGUAGAGAUCUGGAGGAAUACCGGUGGCGAAGGCGGCCCCCUGGACAAAGACUGACGCUCAGGUGCGAAAGCGUGGGGAGCAAACAGGAUUAGAUACCCUGGUAGUCCACGCCGUAAACGAUGUCGAUUUGGAGGUUGUGCCCUUGAGGCGUGGCUUCCGGAGCUAACGCGUUAAAUCGACCGCCUGGGGAGUACGGCCGCAAGGUUAAAACUCAAAUGAAUUGACGGGGGCCCGCACAAGCGGUGGAGCAUGUGGUUUAAUUCGAUGCAACGCGAAGAACCUUACCUGGUCUUGACAUCCACAGAACUUAGCAGAGAUGCUUUGGUGCCUUCGGGAACUGUGAGACAGGUGCUGCAUGGCUGUCGUCAGCUCGUGUUGUGAAAUGUUGGGUUAAGUCCCGCAACGAGCGCAACCCUUAUCCUUUGUUGCCAGCGGUCCGGCCGGGAACUCAAAGGAGACUGCCAGUGAUAAACUGGAGGAAGGUGGGGAUGACGUCAAGUCAUCAUGGCCCUUACGACCAGGGCUACACACGUGCUACAAUGGCAUAUACAAAGAGAAGCGACCUCGCGAGAGCAAGCGGACCUCAUAAAGUAUGUCGUAGUCCGGAUUGGAGUCUGCAACUCGACUCCAUGAAGUCGGAAUCGCUAGUAAUCGUAGAUCAGAAUGCUACGGUGAAUACGUUCCCGGGCCUUGUACACACCGCCCGUCACACCAUGGGAGUGGGUUGCAAAAGAAGUAGGUAGCUUAACCUUCGGGAGGGCGCUUACCACUUUGUGAUUCAUGACUGGGGUGAAGUCGUAACAAGGUAACCGUAGGGGAACCUGCGGUUGGAUCACCUCCUUACCUUAAAGAA
rnacentral:rRNA from 1 species